GUCACCCUCCCUCCCGGUGCUGCCUCUGCCUCCUUCCUUCCUGCUCCUUCUCCCCGCAGCCCUCUCCCGUCCCCAGAGCCAAGCCCCCAGAGGGGGGUUGGCAUACCCCUCCAGCAGAUGGCCAGUCCAUCUAUCCUACAAGGAGGGGCGACCAGGCUUUCACCAGCACAGACACCAAGCCGUACCGAGGCCAGAACCCCAAAAUGACCAGGCUCUGUUCUUCCCCGGGGUAGCACGUGGAUUCAAGGAUCUCUGAAAAAAGCUGCUCUUAAAAGCUCUGGCUGGAUUGGCUCGCCUGUCUGGGAGAGCUCUGAGCCCGCACUGAGAAUGGACUUGCCGGGGAUCACACAGCCGGAAGUGCCAACAAGGGGACUGGAAGAAACAACAACAAAGGAUGAUGCUUUCUGCCUGCCUCACAGAGGAUCCUCGAGGUAACUUAGCUGGGGAAGUGGGGCGUUGCACAUGGGAGCGCUCAGAGCCUCCCAGGCCACGGAGUUCUCCACCUCCUGCAGAUGUGGACUCAGCUCCCGCCCCCUCUUGAACCCUUUCUCUCCUAAUGACUGAUAUUUCAAAAUUAGUCUGUGGUUCUGAACAAGAACAAAAAUCAUUCGAAUUUAUCAUCGGGGACUUGCUUUCAUCUAUAUUUGCCAAUUCCCGGCCUCAGGUCUCCACAGCUCAUUAUUUGUGUUUUUCCUUUGCCGCUGACGAGCUGUUUCCUGAAUCCAGUUGCCCGUGUUCGAAGCAAGCUUGGGCCUCCCACACGGUGCUCAAACUGGCCUUCUCUGGCUCACAAGAGGGGAGAUGGCUGGAAAAAUAAGAAGAUAAUAUCGACCCAACCACAAGAUGGUGAAAGCUGGUACCCAGCUGUGAACAAGCUGCCACCCCUCCCCCAACUCUGGGGUAAUGGGGGCAAAGGGUGAGAGAAAAUUCCACAAUCCAACAGGACAGGGAGGUUGGCAGGACAGACUGUGAAGCUAACAAGUAUGAAAAAAAAACAGUCAGCAGGAAGUCUGUGAGGAGGCAAGAGGAGAGAGAGACGGAAAGUGAGAGCCACCGCCUCGAGCAGAGAUGCUGUCCACCCCUCGCUGGCCACCCUGUGCCCCUACCUGCAGCACCUGCUGGGUAAUGAGGGCCCAGGUCUGUUCCAGACGCAUGGCGCUCCCUUCCUGUGAGAACAUCUUUUUUGUCCUUGAGCGGGUGGUGAUAGAUGGAG
ensembl:lncRNA